rnacentral:rRNA from 1 species
CCUACGGGAGGCAGCAGUGAGGAAUAUUGGUCAAUGGCCGCAAGCCUGAACCAGCCAAGUCGCGUGAGGGAUGACGGUCCUAUGGAUUGUAAACCUCUUUUGUCAGGGAGCAAAGGGCGUCACGUGUGGCGUUUUGUGAGUACCCGAAGAAAAAGCAUCGGCUAACUCCGUGCCAGCAGCCGCGGUAAUACGGAGGAUGCGAGCGUUAUCCGGAGUUAUUGGGUUUAAAGGGUGCGCAGGCGGAAUGUAAAGUCAGCGGUAAAAUUGGGAGGCUCAACCUCGUCGUGCCGUUGAAACUGGUGUUCUUGAGUGAGCGAGAAGUAUGCGGAAUGCGUGGUGUAGCGGUGAAAUGCAUAGAUAUCACGCAGAACUCCGAUUGCGAAGGCAGGAUACCGGCGCUCAACUGACGCUCAUGCACGAAAGUGUGGGUAUCGAACAGGAUUAGAUACCCUAGUAGUC